GACGUAGGGCGCGAGCGUUUGUCCGGAUUUAUUGGGCGUAAAGAGCUCGUAGGCGGUUUGUCGCGUCUGCUGUGAAAACUCGGGGCUUAACCCCCGGGCCUGCAGUGGAUACGGGCAGACUAGAGUCAGGUAGGGGAGAACGGAAUUCCUGGUGUAGCGGUGAAAUGCGCAGAUAUCAGGAAGAACACCAGUGGCGAAGGCGUCU
rnacentral:rRNA from 1 species